rnacentral:rRNA from 1 species
AUUGAACGCUGGCGGCAGGCCUAACACAUGCAAGUCGAGCGGCAGCGGAAAGUAGCUUGCUACUUUGCCGGCGAGCGGCGGACGGGUGAGUAAUGUCUGGGAAACUGCCUGAUGGAGGGGGAUAACUACUGGAAACGGUAGCUAAUACCGCAUAACGUCGCAAGACCAAAGAGGGGGACCUUCGGGCCCCUUGCCAUCAGAUGUGCCCAGAUGGGAUUAGCUAGUAGGUGGGGUAACGGCUCACCUAGGCGACGAUCCCUAGCUGGUCUGGGCGAAUGACCGGCCACACUGGAACUGAGACACGGUCCAGACUCCUACGGGAGGCAGCAGUGGGGAAUAUUGCACAAUGGGCGCAAGCCUGAUGCAGCCAUGCCGCGUGUAUGAAGAAGGCCUUAUGGUUGUAAAGCACUUUAAGCGAGGAGGAGGCUCUUUUGGUUAAUACCCAAGAUGAGUGGACGUUACUCGCAGAAUAAGCACCGGCUAACUCUGUGCCAGCCGCCGCCGUAAGAC